rnacentral:rRNA from 1 species
UAGGGAAUCUUCGGCAAUGGGGGGAACCCUGACCGAGCAACGCCGCGUGAGUGAAGAAGGUUUUCGGAUCGUAAAGCUCUGUUGUUAAGGAAGAACGAGUGUGAGAAUGGAAAGUUCAUGCUGUGACGGUACUUAACCAGAAAGGGACGGCUAACUACGUGCCAGCAGCCGCGGUAAUACGUAGGUCCCGAGCGUUUUCCGGAUUUAUUGGGCGUAAAGCGAGCGCAGGCGGUUAGAUAAGUCUGAAGUUAAAGGCAGUGGCUCAACCAUUGUAGGCUUUGGAAACUGUUUAACUUUAGUGCAGAAGGGGAGAGUGGAAUUCCAUGUGUAGCGGUGAAAUGCGUAGAUAUAUGGAGGAACACCGGUGGCGAAAGCGGCUCUCUGGUCUGUAACUGACGCUGAGGCUCGAAAGCGUGGGGAGCGAACAGG